CCGGAAUUUGAACCCUACCUCGGGCCUCGGGCUCAUUGGCCCCUCUCUACCGGUGCUCUCGCGGCCGCCAGUGUUCUGGUCUCCUGCAACAUUCAGGCUCAGUCUGCACCUGGCUCAAGACAGUCAACGCUGGCGGCGUGCUUUACAACAAUGCAAGUCAAACGGCACUUCAAUGUCAACCUCAUGCUUUUCAAUUUCGUGGCGGAUGGGUGUCAUCAUGAGUGGGUCAACCUGCCUAUUCCCGAGGGACCAACAGUUAUAAAUUGACUGCUAAUUCACGCAUAAUCGCACGGUCUCGCAUUAAAACAGUGUGAAAAACUCCGGUGGUAUAAUAUGGACCCACGUCUGAUUAUCCAGUUGGUGAGGUAACGGCCCACCAAAGCAACUAUCAGUAGCCGGCCUGAGAGGGUGAACGGCCACAUUGGGACUGAGACACGGACCAAACUCCUACGGGAGGCAGCAGUGGGGAAUAUUGGACAAUGGGGGAAAACCUGAUCCAGCGACGCCGCGUGAGUGAAGAAGUAUUUCGGUAUGUAAAGCUCUAUCAGCAAGGAAGAUAAUGACGGUACUUGACUAAGAAGCCCCGGCUAACUACGUGCCAGCAGCCGCGGUAAUACGUAGGGGGCAAGCGUUAUCCGGAUUUACUGGGUGUAAAGGGAGCGUAGACGGUUUGGCAAGUCUGAUGUGAAAGCCCGGGGCUCAACCGCGGGACUGCAUUGGAAACUGUCAGACUUGAGUGCAGGAGAGGUAAGUGGAAUUCCUAGUGUAGCGGUGAAAUGCGUAGAUAUUAGGAGGAACACCGGUGGCGAAGGCGGCUUACUGGACUGUAACUGACGUUGAGGCUCGAAAGCGUGGGGAGCAAACA
rnacentral:rRNA from 1 species